AGGAAAGUUGCUUGCUGAGCAAGAAAACCCAGCCUGGAAGCUAGGACAUAAAGGAGAUAAUAAAAAAUCACAAAUUACUUGAGAUACAGGCAUCAGUUUAAAGGACUAAUGAUGCCUUGGAGAGGCUCUGAGAAUAGGAGGAGGCAGAGAGAAUGAGCUAUAGGUGCUUCUGAAGAGCUUAUAAAGAAAAUGUACAUAGCAGCCAGCCCCUGUGCUCGGAGACUACCUCAUCUGAGAAAUCUAAAUGGAACUCUGAGGCCUGGAGAGGGCUACGCUUCUGACAGCUGCCCCCAGACUCCAGGGAACACUGGCCCUAAUCAGCAAUUCCACAAAGAGAAUUCACAAGGGGAAACCACGAAAAGAGAGGACCUGAUGACCAUCCCCCCAACCCAGCUUCCUCCAAGUAGGCCAAGUUUAUCCUGCAAUGGUGGGUAAAGCUCUUAAUAGAGAAACUGGAAGACCUGACAGUCUGGAGGGAAAAGGGAGCCUCUUACAAUGCGAAUCUGCCCUUGGGCAAAUCUACUUUACAUAGUCAUGUCAUCAGAAGCAGUUCCUAGAAGCAGAUGCAGAGAUCCAGAGCCAAACACCAGACAGAGC